GGGGGGCUCCCCAAAUCCAGAGAGUGAAAUACAAAUGUACUUCUCAUGAGGGCCUGUACCCAGACAUUUAGCAGUAGACCUUUGCAUGCAUCACACAGUAUGCCACUGCAACUUUUAUCCACAGGAAGACUCACCACAGGAUAAAGGAAACCAUUGGUAGGGGAUUUUGAAAAUAUUAGGCUUCUAAAAUAAAAGCUAGUUCAUAUGGGAGCUACAUAACAUUCCCCAAAGAUUAAAGAACUGACAGAAAUGCUGAUCCCUCUGUGAUGCUCCUGCACAGAGCUUCUUUAUUGCAACAUAAAUGCAGCAGGCGGAGAAGACUAAAAUGUAUUUAAAAUGUUUUAAUUGAAACUACUACAAAAAGAAAGGGCAAGAUAGAUGUAUUUUGUAUGUUAAAGAGAGUCAGAAAAAGUAAAUUCUAGUGGUUUAUAUGCCUUAAUACAUUUAAAGAGCUCUUAAUAUUGGGAACGGUCUUCUAUUUGGUAGACAAAAAGUAAGUACCGCCCCAAUCCUGUAAACUCAUACACAGGGUUUAAUCCUUGCACCCUCCAGGAGGUUCACACUUUGUGCAGGCAUUCACCCAUACAUAUAGGCUUGCAGGAUCAAGGUCUAGUUGUACAUGUUCCCAGACACAGAAGGUACAACAUGAAAAGAACCACCCCCACAAAGUUUAUGUCCCAGAAUUAAUCUACUUUACAACAGUUAGAAUCUACUGGGGAAUGAAUGACCUAUUUAAAAAAACCACCAUUUUUAUUCUUUUGCAAACUUAGAAGCAAUAAUUCACUGAGAGCCCAAUUUAACUAAGAAAUAUUGUGAUGCAUUGUUAAAAUAAACAGCCUAUUGCCAUAUUACAUUGCUGUCAAAGAAAAAUAUUUUGCAACACAACAGACUAACACACACCAGAAUACCCUCUUUUUUUUUUUUUUUUUAAUUACUUGACUCUUACCACAGCAGGUUUGCACUCGUGUAGGGAUGUUUUCCCAGCAUGCUUUGCGGGAGGCUGGCCCUUUAUAUUUGGCAGAACCAGCUAGCUGCAGGCCUAAAGUGGCUAUUUACAGCUAGCAACUCCACCUUGCUCUCUGGAGCAGAUGGACAAGUGAGACAGAGACCACGUGACUUGCCCAGUUUCAUGCAGCUGAAUUUUUCCACAAUGUGUUUCAUCCUGUGGGCAAUUAGAAAGGAAACCUCUUCAGCUCUUUGAGAGUUACUGGGAUUGGGAGGAAAUUACCUAUUUUCUAUUAGAAAAAUGAGUACCCCUCAGAAGAAGAGUCAGAGAGAGGGAUCUCAUUUGGAUGAAACUUGCAAACAGGCAUGCCAAGAGAAACCUGCCCCAGGAAGACCCAGGCCAAAGACAGUGGCUUGAUUCUUUGUGAACAUUAAGAUAUAGCAGUGUCAGGCCUUUUUCACACCUGAAGGAAUGUGCACUGUCUAUGAAGGUAAUAAAGCAUGUAGAUUAUAAAAAGGUAAAUCAAGUUUGAUAAAUUUACAAAGACUUAGAAAAUAAUGCCAAAGCC